rnacentral:lncRNA from 1 species
GAAAAGGGAGCUAGUGAACAGUACUUUUCAUACGGAAACUGCCAAAAAGAUUUUACAGAUCCCUUUGGCAGAAGCGAAGCAUGAAGAUUUCCAAGUAUGGAAAGAGGAACCUUCGGGAGUUUUCUCAGUACGGAGUGCCUAUACACUAUUACAACGUGCUAGCAUGGAUCCUAAUAGUUAUUUAUUACAGACCGAAUCUAAAGAUUUCUUUAGAAAACUAUGGGACAUACAGCUACCAUAAAAAAUUACAAUUACAAUAUGGAGGAUCUACUGGAAUUACAUCUCUACAUUGAUCAAUCUAAGUUACAAGAGAGUGGCUAACAACAUCAUCUGCCCUUGCUGUGGAGUUGGAGAAGAGGAUAGUGAUCAUUUCUUUAGACAGUGUCCUGCAAUCAGAGAAAUAUGGUCAAACCUUAAUCUCUCUUGGGGUAUAACCAAAAUGGAUCAAAGUAUCGAUGAAUGGCUUACCUGGUUUUUUGUAAGAGGUACCAAUGAACAGUGUAGGAUCUUUUGUUGCGCAUUGUGGCUCAUAUGGAACUCAAUGAACCAGUUUGUUCAUGAAAGGAAAUCCAUUUCAGUAUGGGAUCUAGUUGAGAAAAUCAGAAGUUAUUUAGCUGAACUAGAGGGGAUUAGAGAUAAAAAAAACUUGCCUCUAUUCCUGAAAACACCCAUAGCCAAACAGAAGAGACAUCGAGAUCAACGUAACUAUUUGAUACAGCCUUUGACGGGAGAAAUUUUCGAUCGGCCUUCCGGAAUAGUGGUGCGGGACCGGAUGAGGGUGUUUCAAGCUUCAAAGACGACUCUCCAUGAAAAUAGCUCCUCCUCAUUCGUAGCUGAAGCUCAUGCAGGGUUAGAAGCCAUCAAGUUAGCAUCAUUAAUGGGUUUAUCUUCAGUAAUAAUAAAGGGAGACUCGAAGACAGUUAUUAAGAAAUGUAAAUCGAAUAAAGAAGACAAACCUGUUCUUGGAGCGAUCAUUCGAGAUAUUCAGAUCAAAAGAGCCAGUUUUCAAGACGUUAUUUUCCAAUUUAUUCCUAGAUCGAAGAAUAUUCAAGAAAAUAAUCUAGCAAAAAGGGCACUAGAGAAAAGGGAAGCAUCAUACUUGAAGAGGGAAGAGAGGAGUCACAGCGAGACAGAUCCGGAAGGUAGAUGGAGAGGAGAACCAGAUUGAUUUUGUUUUUGAAAUGAGGAAAUAAGAAGUUAUGAUAGCUGAUAUCUAGAAAAUCUUUGAAAAGCUAUCUUGGAAACGGUGUGGCUAUUUGAUAGAAGGAGACGGUCGAGGUAUUACUGGCGAGGCUGUCCUUUGAUUUGACUGGGUUUACUAAUUAGUUUUUUUCUCCAGAUAUUUUAAGUUGUGUUUUUAAGUUUCCUGUUCUUUUAGUUUUUCAAUGUUCGGGCUCAUUACUUCUGAUAAAAGGUAAGGCCCAGAUGUUAAUUUUUCUUUUUAAUUUUCUCAAUAU